rnacentral:rRNA from 1 species
GAUGAACGCUGGCGGCGUGCCUAAUACAUGCAAGUCGAGCGAACGGACGAGAAGCUUGCUUCUCUGAUGUUAGCGGCGGGCGGGUGAGUAACACGUGGAUAACCUACCUAUAAGACUGGGAUACCUGCGGGAAACCGGCUCUAAUUGCGUAUGACAUUUUGAACCGCAUGGUUCAAAAGGGAAGGACGUUCUUGCGGUCACUUAUAGAUGGAUCCGCGCUGCAUUCGCUAGUGGGGUAGGUAACGGCUUACCCAGGCAACGAUGCAUAGCCGACCUGAGAGGGUGAUCGGCCCCACUGGAACUGGGACACGGUCCCGACUCCGACGGGAGGCAGCAGUAGGGAAUCUGCCGCAAGGGGCGAAAGCGUGACGGAGCAACGCCGCGGGAGCGAUGAAGGUCUUCGGAUCCUAGAACUAUGCUAUUAGGGAAGAACAUAUGUGUAAGUAGCUGUGCACAUCGUGACGGUACCUAAUCAGAAAGCCACGGCUAACUACGUG